CUGACAUGCGUGCGAGUCGACGGGUUCUGAAACCUGGGAUGCGCAAGGAAGCUGACGAGCGGGAGGCCCUCACGGGCCGCACCGCUGGCCGACCCUGAUCUUCUGUGAAGGGUUCGAGUUGGAGCACGCCUAUCGGGACCCGAAAGAUGGUGAACUAUGCCUGAGCGGGGCGAAGCCAGAGGAAACUCUGGUGGAGGCUCGAAGCGAUACUGACGUGCAAAUCGUUCGUCUGACUUGGGUAUAGGGGCGAAAGACUAAUCGAACCAUCUAGUAGCUGG
rnacentral:rRNA from 1 species